rnacentral:tRNA from 1 species
AAUUUUAUAGUAUAAAUAGUAUAUUUAAUUUCCAAUUAAAAGGUUAAUAAAAUUA